CACGUAGGGCGCAAGCGUUGUCCGGAAUUAUUGGGCGUAAAGAGCUCGUAGGUGGUUUGUUACGUCCGCUGUGAAAUCCUAGGGCUUAACCCUGGGCUUGCAGUGGAUACGGGCAGACUAGAGGUAGGUAGGGGAGAAUGGAAUUCCUGGUGUAGCGGUGAAAUGCGCAGAUAUCAGGAGGAACACCGGUGGCGAAGGCGGGUCUCUGGGCCAAUACUGACGCUGAGGAGCGAAAGCGUGGGGAGCGAACAGG
rnacentral:rRNA from 1 species